rnacentral:rRNA from 1 species
ACGCACGCUGGCGGCGUGCUUCACCCAUGCAAGUCGAACGGAAAGGCCCUGCUUGCCGGGUACUCGAGUGGCGAACGGGUGAGUAACACGUGGGUGAUCUGCCCUGCACUUCGGGAUAAGCCUGGGAAACUGGGUCUAAUACCGGAUAGGAGCCAUUUUUAGUGUGAUGGUUGGAAAGUUUUUUCGGUGUAGGAUGAGCUCGCGGCCUAUCAGCUUGUUGGUGGGGUAAUGGCCUACCAAGGCGGCGACGGGUAGCCGGCCUGAGAGGGUGGACGGCCACAUUGGGACUGAGAUACGGCCCAGACUCCUACGGGAGGCAGCAGUGGGGAAUAUUGCACAAUGGGCGCAAGCCUGAUGCAGCGACGCCGCGUGGGGGAUGACGGCCUUCGGGUUGUAAACUCCUUUCGCUAGGGACGAAGCUUUUUGUGACGGUACCUAGAGAAGAAGCACCGGCUAACUACGUG